CUAUAAACUACCAUUUUUUGAAAUUUUAACAAAAAAUACCAUCGUGAGUCAACCGGAAGUUGAAAUAUUCUUCAAGCGAUUUUCAUGAACAAAGCGUUGCAGAUGCACUCUUCAACUUUGAUGUGAUCCAACACAUACUACAACCUUUUGUUGUUUGAUAUUUUGUAAACCAAGUAUCCACGGUAGAACAUAACAAACCGGCAAAAUUCUGGACGGAAAGCAAAACCUGGGUGGUACUUCUCCACACGCAGGGAGACGGGAUGAGAGACGAGUCUCAAGUCCAGCUCCAGUUCAACGUUGGAUACCCCCCAGUAGCGUGAAAAGGGAUGUUCUCACCCAUGAUGAAAAACAUGACAUUGUAUUUAGAAAGGUCAGAGC